AACGAACGCUGGCGGCAGGCCUAACACAUGCAAGUCGAACGCUCGUAGCAAUACGGGAGUGGCAGACGGGUGAGUAACACGUGGGAACGUGCCCUUUGGUUCGGAACAACUCCGGGAAACUGGAGCUAAUACCGGAUAAGCCCUUACGGGGAAAGAUUUAUCGCCAAAGGAUCGGCCCGCGUCUGAUUAGCUAGUUGGCGGGGUAAGUAGGCCC
rnacentral:rRNA from 1 species